rnacentral:rRNA from 1 species
AUUGAACGCUGGCGGCAGGCUUAACACAUGCAAGUCGAACGCCCCGCAAGGGGAGUGGCAGACGGGUGAGUAACGCGUGGGAAUCUACCUAGUUCUACGGAACAACACAGGGAAACUUGUGCUAAUACCGUAUACGCCCUACGGGGGAAAGAUUUAUCGGAAUUAGAUGAGCCCGCGUUGGACUAGCUAGUUGGUGGGGUAAUGGCCUACCAAGGCGACGAUCCAUAGCUGGUCUGAGAGGAUGAUCAGCCACACUGGGACUGAGACACGGCCCAGACUCCUACGGGAGGCAGCAGUGGGGAAUAUUGGACAAUGGGCGAAAGCCUGAUCCAGCCAUGCCGCGUGAGUGAUGAAGGCCUUAGGGUUGUAAAGCUCUUUCAGUAGGGAAGAUAAUGACGGUACCUACAGAAGAAGCCCCGGCUAACUUCGUGCCAGCCGCCGCCGUAACAC